UACGGGGGGGGCAAGCGUUGUUCGGAAUUACUGGGCGUAAAGGGCUCGUAGGCGGCCAACUAAGUCGGAUGUGAAAUCCCCAGGCUUAACCUGGGAACUGCAUCCGAUACUGGAUGGCUUGAAUCCGGGAGAGGGAUGCGGAAUUCCAGGUGUAGCGGUGAAAUGCGUAGAUAUCGGGAGGAACACCAGUGGCGAAGGCGGCGACCUGGGCCAAUAUUGACGCUGAGGUGCGAAAGCGUGGGGAGCAAACAGG
rnacentral:rRNA from 1 species